AGAGUUUGAUCCUGGCUCAGAUUGAACGCUGGCGGCAGGCUUAACACAUGCAAGUCGAGCGGGCGAGGUUGCUUCGGUGACUGAGCUAGCGGCGGACGGGUGAGUAAUGCUUAGGAAUCUGCCUAUUAGUGGGGGACAACAUUCCGAAAGGAAUGCUAAUACCGCAUACGCCCUACGGGGGAAAGCAGGGGAUCUUCGGACCUUGCGCUAAUAGAUGAGCCUAAGUCAGAUUAGCUAGUUGGUGGGGUAAAGGCCUACCAAGGCGACGAUCUGUAGCGGGUCUGAGAGGAUGAUCCGCCACACUGGGACUGAGACACGGCCCAGACUCCUACGGGAGGCAGCAGUGGGGAAUAUUGGACAAUGGGCGGAAGCCUGAUCCAGCCAUGCCGCGUGUGUGAAGAAGGCCUUUUGGUUGUAAAGCACUUUAAGCGAGGAGGAGGCUACUUGGAUUAAUACUCUAGGAUAGUGGACGUUACUCGCAGAAUAAGCACCGGCUAACUCUGUGCCAGCAGCCGCGGUAAUACGGAGGGUGCGAGCGUUAAUCGGAUUUACUGGGCGUAAAGCGUGCGUAGGCGGCUUCUUAAGUCGGAUGUGAAAUCCCUGAGCUUAACUUAGGAAUUGCAUUCGAUACUGGGAAGCUAGAGUAUGGGAGAGGAUGGUAGAAUUCCAGGUGUAGCGGUGAAAUGCGUAGAGAUCUGGAGGAAUACCGAUGGCGAAGGCAGCCAUCUGGCCUAAUACUGACGCUGAGGU
rnacentral:rRNA from 1 species